UGUGCCAGCAGCCGCGGUAAUACGUAGGUGGCAAGCGUUGUCCGGAUUUACUGGGCGUAAAGGAUGCGUAGGCGGAUACUUAAGUCAGAUGUGAAAAUCCCGAGCUUAACUUGGGAACUGCAUUUGAAACUGGGUAUCUAGAGUGCGGGAGAGGAAAGUGGAAUUCCUAGUGUAGCGGUGAAAUGCGUAGAGAUUAGGAAGAACACCAGUGGCGAAGGCGACUUUCUGGACCGUAACUGACGCUGAGGCAUGAAAGCGUGGGGAGCAAACAGGAUUAGAAACCCUAGUAGUCC
rnacentral:rRNA from 1 species